AUUGAACGCUGGCGGCAGGCUUAACACAUGCAAGUCGAGCGAGCGGCGGACGGGUGAGUAAUGUCUGGGAAACUGCCUGAUGGCGGGGGCUAACUACUGGAAACGGUCGCUAAUACCGCAUACCAUCAGAUGUGCCCAGAUGGGAUUAGCUAGUAGGUGGGGUAAAGGCUCACCUAGGCGACGAUCCCUAGCUGGUCUGAGAGGCUGACCAGCCACACUGGAACUGAGACACGGGCCAGACUCCUACGGGAGGCAGCAGGGGGGAAUAUUGCACAAUGGGCGGAAGCCUGAUGCAGCCAUGCCGCGUGUGUGAAGAAGGCCUUCGGGUUGUAAAGCACUUUCAGUGAGGAGGCGUUACUCGCAGAAGAAGCAACGGCUAACUCCGUGCCAGCCGCCGCGGUAAUAC
rnacentral:rRNA from 1 species